GAUGAAGAACGCAGUGAAAUGCGAUACGUAAUGUGAAUUGCAGAAUUCAGUGAAUCAUCGAGUCUUUGAACGCACAUUGCGCCCCCUGGUAGUCCGGGGGGCAUGCCUGUCCGAGCGUCAUUGCUGCCCUCAAGCACGGCUUGUGUGUUGGGCCUCCGUCCUCCUCCCGGGGGACGGGCCCGAAAGGCAGCGGCGGCACCGCGUCCGGUCCUCGAGCGUAUGGGGCUUCGUCACCCGCUCUUGUAGGCCCGGCCGGCGCUUGCCGACACAUCAAUCUUUUUUCCAGGUUGACCUCGGAUCAGGUAGGGAUACCCGCUGAACUUAAGCAUAUCAAUAAGCGGAGGA
rnacentral:misc_RNA from 1 species